rnacentral:rRNA from 1 species
UACUCGAGUGGCGAACGGGUGAGUAACACGUGGGUGAUCUGCCCUGCACUUCGGGAUAAGCUUGGGAAACUGGGUCUAAUACCGGAUAGGACCGCACUUUAGUGUGUGUGGUGGAAAGUUUUUUCGGUGUAGGAUGAGCUCGCGGCCUAUCAGCUUGUUGGUGGGGUAAUGGCCUACCAAGGCGGCGACGGGUAGCCGGCCUGAGAGGGUGUACGGCCACAUUGGGACUGAGAUACGGCCCAG